UCUUGGUCAUUUAGAGGAAGUAAAAGUCGUAACAAGGUCUCCGUUGGUGAACCAGCGGAGGGAUCAUUAUCGAGUUAUUCAACUCCCAAACCCUAUGUGAACUUACCACUUGUUGCUUCGGCGCGCGCUUCGGCGCCGCCGAGGACACUUAAACUCUUUGUUUUUAUAAGCAUUUCUGAGUGGCCGAAAGGCAAAAAUACAAAUGAAUCAAAACUUUCAACAACGGAUCUCUUGGUUCUGGCAUCGAUGAAGAACGCAGCGAAAUGCGAUAAGUAAUGUGAAUUGCAGAAUUCAGUGAAUCAUCGAAUCUUUGAACGCACAUUGCGCCCGCCAGCAUUCUGGCGGGCAUGCCUGUUCGAGCGUCAUUUCAACCCUCGAGCCCGACUCUUUUGAGGACGGCUCGGCGUUGGGGGACGGCAGACUCCCCCCGGCAUCUCGCCGGGGACGCCGCCCCCGAAAUCUAGUGGCGGCCCUCCGAGGCGACCUCUGCGUAGUAACUUGUUCUCGCACCGGAAAGCUCAGAGCGGCCACGCCGUAAAACCCCAACUUCUUUCAGGUUGACCUCGAAUCAGGUAGGACUACC
rnacentral:rRNA from 1 species